AUUGAACGCUGGCGGCAUGCUUUACACAUGCAAGUCGAACGGCAGCGCGGGCUUCGGCCUGGCGGCGAGUGGCGAACGGGUGAGUAAUGCAUCGGAACGUGCCCAGUAGUGGGGGAUAGCCCGGCGAAAGCCGGAUUAAUACCGCAUACGACCUGGGGGUGAAAGCGGGGGACCGAAAGGCCUCGCGCUAUUGGAGCGGCCGAUGUCGGAUUAGCUAGUUGGUGGGGUAAAGGCUUACCAAGGCGACGAUCCGUAGCUGGCCUGAGAGGACGACCAGCCACACUGGGACUGAGACACGGCCCAGACUCCUACGGGAGGCAGCAGUGGGGAAUUUUGGACAAUGGGGGCAACCCUGAUCCAGCCAUGCCGCGUGCGGGAAGAAGGCCUUCGGGUUGUAAACCGCUUUUGUUCGGGAAGAAAUCCUCUGGGCUAAUACCCCGGGGGGAUGACGGUACCGGAAGAAUAAGCACCGGCUAACUACGUG
rnacentral:rRNA from 1 species